GCAGGCGUGAAAUUGCCUCCUGCUUUGUUGCUGCACCGCAUACCCUACUUCUGAUGCAGAAAAAAUAUUCCUAGCACCCACAUCUCUGGUUACCUCUGGGGUGAGGCAGCGAUUUGAGUUUCCUACCCUGGCAACUCAGAGCAGCCAUGAAUGAGAUGCGGAAGCAGCUUCUGACUAGAGCAUGAAAGCAAAAGCUCUUUUCAUGUCCCACGGAAGAGCACACGAGCCCCUGAAUCCGUCGACCUAAAGGGCUGCAGAUAGCAAAAAGGUGUUUCCCGCUUAUCAGUAUUGGCAGUAGCGGAGCGAAAGACUUCAUCGUUCGGAGCCAGGAAAGGAAGAGGAAAAUACAAAAGUUUCAGCUCACCACUUCUCUAGUCCGCACACAUCGGAUGCAUCCAGAUAGCUUGCAGCGAAAGGGAAAAGAUGAAGAAUUUCCCCAACCUCAAUAUAAAGUCGUACUGAUACCAGCUGCCGUUUGGCUUUGCCAGCACAUUUUGAUUAUCAUCAUGCCUUCGAGAUUUUCUGCAGGGAAGCACGAUUUCGGCUGUUAAAAAGGAAUUCUCUGGAGAGCUGAAGAUCAUAGCGGUCCCACGUCAUACUAUGAAAGGAAUCCAGCUUUUCAUUGUCCCCAGUGAAAGCACUCGGAGGAGUCUCCGGGGGUUCAAUUCAGAAUUGGCAAGCCCGCAAGAGCGUGUGUCCAUCUGCACAGCACAGACACAGAUGAAGGUCUCCGUCACAUACUUGCUCUCUAAUUGGCUGGUAAUAAUAUUAUCAGUGAAUUACAGUGCAUGCCUCAUGUGCAGCACAUUAGGUGGCUGACAUUUCUAUAACAUUUUAAGGUUCUCAGCAAAGUCA